rnacentral:pre_miRNA from 1 species
UUAACCCAUUUAACAACUCAACCUAUCAAAUUAAAUGAGUUAUGGGUUGACCCAACCCAUUUAACAAAAUGAGUUGGAUCAACCCAUAACUCAUUUAACCCUAAACUCAUUUGAUUAUGAGU